rnacentral:rRNA from 1 species
UACCAGCACCCCGAGUGGUCGGGACGUUUAUUGGGCCUAAAGCAUCCGUAGCCGGUUCUACAAGUCUUCCGUUAAAUCCACCUGCUUAACAGAUGGGCUGCGGAAGAUACUAUAGAGCUAGGAGGCGGGAGAGGCAAGCGGUACUCAGUGGGUAGGGGUAAAAUCCGUUGAUCCAUUGAAGACCACCAGUGGCGAAGGCGGCUUGCCAGAAUGCGCUCGACGGUGAGGGAUGAAAGCUGGGGGAGCAAACCGG